rnacentral:lncRNA from 1 species
CCAGGCUCUGAUCGGGCCCCACACUGGCGUUUUGUGGAGGAGACCCUGAAGCCAGGGGAGAUGUCAGUCAAGCCGCGCAGCACAGGGGCCCAACUUCCACUGGCAGAAUGCAAGCACCCAAGAGGCAGGAGUUUCACUCAAAGGCAGGGUUCACCCCUGUGUUCCCAGAGAUCGGACACAUAGCUGGUGUUCAGUAAACAUUUGCGGGAUGAGUGAAUAAAUGACGGAGCAUUUAUUAAGAGCAUGGCUGUGCUUGGCUCUCCAUACAGAGAUGAGUAAGGCAAGGGGCUUCACAGCUCUUGGCUGUGUGUGUGUCCGUGUGUGUGCAUGAGUGUGCGUGCAUUUGCCUCUGUGUGCCUGUGUAUCUGCAUAUGUGCAUGUCUGUGUUGUCAGCGUGCAUGCAUGUGCAUGUGUCCACGUGUUUCUGUGUGCAUGUGUGUGCCCGUGUGUGCAUGUGUCUGUGUGUAUAUCUGUGUUUGUGCCUGUGUCUCUGUGUGCAUGUCUCCGUGUGCCCACGUGUGUGCAUGUGUAUGUAUAUCUGUGUGUGCAUGUGCCUGUGUCUGUGUGCAUUGUGUCUCUGUGUGUGUUCAUGUGUGUGCAUGUGUCUGUCUGUGCUCUGUGUGUGUGUAUUUGUGUAUGUGUCUAUGUAUGUCUGUGUGUGUUCACAUGUGUGCAUAUCUGUGUGUUCAUCUCUGUUUGUUCAUGUGUGCAUGUGUCUCUAUAUCUGUGUGCAUCUAUGUGUCUGUGUUUGUGUGUCCAUGUGUGCAUUUGUCUGUGUAUCUGUGUAUGAGUGUCUGUGUGUCUGUGUGUGCAUGUCUGUGUUUGUGUGUUCAUAUGUGCAUGUUUCUAUGUAUAUGUCUCUAUGUUCAUGUCAGUUCAUGUCUGUGCAUGUUCACAUGUAUGCAUGUUUCUCUCCAUGUGUCUCUGUGUGUGCAUGUUUCUGUGUAUGUAUGUGUCUGUUCAUGUGUGUGUUGUCUGUGCAUGUUCACAUGUGUGCAUGUCUGUGUGUUCAUAUCUGCGUUUGUUCAUGUGUUCAUGUGUCUGUGUGUGUAUGUAUAUCUGUGUGUAUGUGUCUGUGUGUGUGUGUCUGUGUAUGCACAUGUGUGUAGGGGGAUCUGGGGGGUUCUGGCUCUGAGCUUAGUACUCUAUUCUUCAAAUAUCCAUUUCUUGGCAUCGGGCAUGACAGCCUAUCCAGCUUGGAGGUUUUCUGCCCCUUGGCUGAGGCUGGGCGAGCCGAACACCCAUUUCUCCUUUCUUUGUUGAGCCAUUCUUUUCUUCCUCAGGAUGUUUAUCCCAGGAAAUCCAGAGGAUCAGAACCAGGCAGGACCCGGCACUGGGACGGAGGCAGCUGUCUGCGGGGCGUUUACAGUAGAUAUGUAUCACCUGUUCUGAGACGGAGCCGGGGAGGCUGUUUUUAAUCAUCCGGGAGGUUGUAAAAUGUUUCCCGACGUUACGAGGACAGCUGCUGGAAUAAUGAUGCAGGUAGCUGGCACACACGCAGUGCAAAGGUUUCACCAGGCAUGGUCUUCUACGCCUAUCACCUGGUCAAUACGAGCAGCAGCCACGUUAAGGUGUAAUACACACUGGCGUCAUCUAACAUUCCAUGUGAGGAAACUGAGGCACACAAAGGGCAACUGGCUUGCUCAAGGUCGCGUGAAUGGCAAAGUGUGGAUCUGGGAUUCAAGCCCAGACAAUUGGGCUCCAGAAUUGACUUUAUUAGUCAUGAUCACUCCAGAGAAAACAUCAAGCACUUUUCAUUACAUGUUUAAUGAAAAUGAUGUUAAAGUGGUUUUGUAGGAGAAAACAUUUCAUUCAUGUAAAUACAUUUUACUGCAUUCUAAAAUCUAGCAGGAAAAGAUGUGGCCUAACUACCGUCAAGAUCUGGGUACAUUUCAUUGGAAAUACAAGCACAUUGGACAUGGGAAAAUACUGGGGAACUUUACACGGAAGAGAAUGCAUCUGAUAGUCUGGCGAACUAGCAUUUGCUGGAUUUUUAGGACAUACGGGAGGCCGGGUGCGGUGACCUCCCCCAGCAAUCCCAGCAAUCGGGGAGGCUGAGGCCGGUGGAUUGCUCGAGCCCAGGAGUCCAAGACUAGCCCGGGCAACAUGGUAAAACCUCACCUCUAUGAAAAAAAUACAAAAAAUUAGCCGGGCGUGGUGGUGCACAGCUGUAGUCUCAGCUACGUGGGAGGUUGAGGUGGGAGAAUCACCUGAGCCUGGGGAAGUCAAGGCUGCAGUGAGCCGAGAUUGCACCACUGCACUCCAGCCUGGGUAACAGAGUGAGACCCUGUCUCAACAAACAAAACACAAAAAUAUAUAUAUGCUGAAUGCUCAGUGAGCUGUAACAUGUGAGGCAGCCCCCAGGGGUGCAGAGAUGAACUGCUAAGAAGGCGUAUGUUCCCACGGGGUGCAGAGAUGAACCCCUGUCUGAGAAGGUGCAUGUACCCACGGGGUACAGAGAUGAACCUGUCUGAGAAGGCGCAUGUACCCACGGGGUGCAGAGAUGAACCCCUGUCUGAGAAGGCGCAUGUACCCACAGGGUGGAGAGAUGAACCCCUGUCUUGAGAAGGCGCAUAUACCCACGGGGUGCAGAGAUGAACCCCUGUCUGAGAAGGCGCAGGUACCCACGGGGUGCAGAGAUGAACCCCUGUCUGAG